UGCCAGACUCCUACGGGAGGCAGCAGUGAGGAAUAUUGGUCAAUGGGCUUACGCCUGAACCAGCCAAGUCGCGUGAGGGAAGACUGCCCUAUGGGUUGUAAACCUCUUUUGUCAGGGAGCAAUUGGCGCUACGUGUAGCGUUAUCGAGAGUACCUGAAGAAAAAGCAUCGGCUAACUCCGUGCCAGCAGCCGCGGUAAUACGGAGGAUGCGAGCGUUAUCCGGAUUUACUGGGUGUAAAGGGAGCGUAGACGGACUUGCAAGUCUGAUGUGAAAAUCCGGGGCCCAACCCCGGAACUGCAUUGGAAACUGUAUAUCUAGAGUGUCGGAGAGGCAAGUGGAAUUCCUGGUGUAGCGGUGAAAUGCGUAGAUAUCAGGAGGAACACCAGUGGCGAAGGCGGCUUGCUGGACGAUGACUGACGUUGAGGCUCGAAAGCGUGGGGAGCAAACAGGAUUAGAUACCCCCGUAAG
rnacentral:rRNA from 1 species